rnacentral:rRNA from 1 species
AACGUUGGCGGCGCGCCUACACAUGCAAGUCUNACGAGAAAGCUCCUUCGGGAGCAAGUACAGUGGCAAACGAGUGCGUAACACGUGGGAAUCUGCCCUUCAGUGAAGAAUAACCUCGGGAAACUGAGGAUAAUGCUGCAUACGUCCCUUCGGGGAGAAAGGUGGCCUCUUGCUGCCGCUGAAGGAUGAACCUGCGGACUAUCAGCUUGUUGGUGAGGUAAUGGCUUACCAAGGCUAUGACGGUUAGCCGGCCUGAGAGGGUGAUCGGCCACGCUGGAACUUAGAUACGGUCCAGACUCCUACGGGAGGCAGCAGUGGGGAAUCUUGCGCAAUGGGCGAAAGCCUGACGCAGCGACGCCGCGUGAAGGAUGAAGGUCUUCGGAUUGUAAACUUCUGUUAAGUGGGAAGAAAGACUCAAACAUAAUACGUUUGGGGGAUGACGGUACCACUAGAGAAAGCACCGGCUAAUUUCGUGCCAGCAGCCGCGGUAAUACGAGAGGUGCAAACGUUAUUCGGAAUCAUUGGGCGUAAAGGGUGCGUAGACGGCACAUUAAGUCAACUGUUAAAUAUCCCGGCCUAACCGGGAAACUGCGGUAGAUACUGAUGUGCUAGAGGAUGGAAGAGAGAAGUGGAAUUCUCGGAGUAGCGGUAAAAUGCGUAGAUCUCGAGAGGAACACCGAUGGCGAAGGCAGCUUCUUGGUCCAUUCCUGACGUUGAGGCACNAAAGCGUGGGGAGCAAACAGGAUUAGAUACCCUGGUAGUCCC